AGCUGGUGAAGAGGAGUCCUUCGUAUUAGUUAUAUAUGCAUUCUCUGCUUGAAACUUGAAAUGACGCAAUGGAUCAAAUACAUAAGAUUCAGGCCGAGGAAACCCACUCAGCUCAAAGUGUCUUCCUUCUAAAGCUAGAAAAACAAAUCAAUCUCUCUCAGAUUCACCAGGCGGCUUCCGAAAAUGACCUAGAGAAGCAACAACUUCAUGACUCCCUGAUAAUUAGCUCUACUGAUCUACUUGAUGAACAACAAGGUUCCAGUCGAUGUCUGCAUAGAAGAGAUGGUCCUGGAUUUCUCUUACAUCACCUGGUCCACCUCCUAAACGAGUGUAUGGAUUCUUUUGAAGCAAACCUUCAAGCAAAUCAUGGGCUUCUUGGGAAAUAGUCUUUGGGAACCGAACCUGAAAAGUGAAAUAUGUUUUAAGAAGUCACUUUCACUAUAGCUCCAUUAUACAGCUACCAUUAAUGAUUCUGAAUCAAAAAGUUAUCUAUACCUUUCAGCUUUGGGUAUCAUUCUCAAAACAAUCAUAUGCUACAUUUGUUAAAACCCAGCAUUGAAUUUAAUGAAACAUCUCUUUCUGAAGAAUCCCAGGUGACUCCCUUAAGUGAUAUUGCUGAGAUCGCUUCAUACUAAAGAGUCGCAUCAGUUGUAGAAGUUUUGUUUGGCCUACCCGGGACCAGAGCUAGAACCUCUCCCCAUCAGAAGCACAGGGAGUGGGUGGCAAUUUGACACACCACUGGAAGAUGCCUCCAGAAAAUCAGUGAAGCACUAAAGACACUUUGAGAGUUCAAAGAAAAUGAACUCUCAAAACUGCCUAACAACUCUCCAAACAACAUUCAGAACAAGGGAUUCACUCAAACUAGUUUCAAACUCAUUAGUGCCAAGUACCACUACAAGGUGAUCUGGUCCCCAGUUCCUUGAAGUUAACUAACCACAAGAAACAAAAAUAGGACUUACUAGGGAAGGUGGAGAGGAGCAGACACUAGGAUAAAGAAGAGAAACCAUGCCAGGAAACAUGGCCCAAAGCCACACAUGACUGACUGGAACCUGAGACUAGACUGACUAUAAAUACUGGGCCGAGUAUAUUCAAUACUCAAUUUGAACGCCAAAACCCAAUCCCAAAUAUCAGUCCAAGAAAUGUUACAGCAGAUGAUGGCCAAAGCCACAUAUUCAAGUAGAAGAAAAGCUCACUCCGUCGUGUGAUCACCAUAUUAUAAGAUGGAUUACAUAUAUAGAAACCCACAUAAGAGCCAUGAUGAUGAUUUUCUGAAAUACUUUCGAGAAGACUAGCAAGGAAUAAGAGGGGAACUGCAAAAUACUUCCUGGAGGGAGCAGAUAGGUGAAAAUGGCACAGAAUCAUCAAGGGAAAUUUUUAAAGUUAUCACUGAACUCAUUAAAAAAACAGUGUUGAAUAUAAUGAAACACCAUUUUCUGGGCGAGACCAGAAAGCUUCCUGGAGUUAUCCAGGCUGAUGUUAAUGUCAGACUUUGGCAUC